AAGAACCUUACCAACUCUUGACAUCCCAUUGACCGCUUGAGAGAUCAAGUUUUCCCUUCGGGGACAAUGGUGACAGGUGGUGCAUGGUUGUCGUCAGCUCGUGUCGUGAGAUGUUGGGUUAAGUCCCGCAACGAGCGCAACCCCUAUCCUUAGUUGCCAGCAUUGAGUUGGGCACUCUAGGGAGACUGCCGGUGACAAACCGGAGGAAGGUGGGGAUGACGUCAAAUCAUCAUGCCCCUUAUGAGUUGGGCUACACACGUGCUACAAUGGACGGUACAAAGGGCAGCGAGACCGCGAGGUGGAGCCAAUCCCAUAAAGCCGUUCCCAGUUCGGAUUGCAGGCUGCAACUCGCCUGCAUGAAGUCGGAAUCGCUAGUAAUCGCAGGUCAGCAUACUGCGGUGAAUACGUUCCCGGGUCUUGUACACACCGCCCGUCACACCACGAGAGUUUGCAACACCCGAAGCCGGUGAGUAAC
rnacentral:rRNA from 1 species